rnacentral:rRNA from 1 species
AGGGGGGACAUGCGGAAGGAUCAUUG